UCGGACGGCCAGAGUGGCGUGGUUCACCUGUUCCCUUUUCGAACACAGAUGUUAAAGGCGCUUACGUAUUGUCCUGUACCGUAUUUUAUAUGGGAACGGCAGUAAGCUGUCCACC
rnacentral:rRNA from 1 species